CCUCCCACGCUCCACUCCCGACACCUGUUCCGUUUAAAAUCUCCGGCGUCGACGUGGCCGCGUGCGCAGCCACAAACCCUCCCUCCCGCCGCAAUUAACAAUCCGCUAAUCAGCUCGGCGCAGCCCGAACCCUCCCUCUAAUCGCCCGCUAAACCGCUCCCUCCCUCCGCCAAAAGGCCAGUCCGGGGGCUUUUCCUAUCUCCACUUGUUGGCGACUUGGUAGUAGACUCGCGGAUACGAUCCUUCUAGACACUUCGACGCGCCCGUUAUAAAGGCCGGCGCAUCCGGGCCAUGACCACACAGCCCCUUGCUCAUUGGCUAGGGCGGGGAAGGAAAUUGCGGGAGGAUGCGAAGCCAUUGGUGUAUUGCAUAUGGUGGCACCAAGCAUGAGGCAGGAACUGCAUUACUUGCAAGAAAGUCACAAGUAAGAGAUGAAAGCUUGUAGUUCAUUUUAAGGCUCAUUCCAAUCUGAUUCUCUAAACUUUGGAGGUCUCUUACACCUAGGCCUGAAAGCUCCUCUCCCAUUAGUUGCCUACAACAUUGGAAAAGAGUUUCUCACAUUAUCUUAGAAUCCAUUGCAAGAUCAUACUUGUGGCUUUCUUGCAAGUUGUGCAGUUGUUGCCUCAAGCUUGCUGCCUCCCUUUGCCAGAGCUAUCGGUAAAACAGGAAGUACUGUCAGUUUCCGAGCUACAAACAAGCUAUAAGUUUAGAAAAAUAAUUUAGAAAUGUACAACAAAGUCUAGUAAUACAUUGUUAAAGAUAAAUCAAUACUCAAUAAGUUCCUCAUGCUUUGGAUUUGGGGAUAACAUACCUGUUUUAUUUACAUGCUAAUAUUUGGACCAACAAAAAAUACCUUAGGAACAGCCAUUUGAGAAAAAAACAAAGCCUUUUAGUCCUAAGCAAGUUAGCAUAGCUUAGAGUUGCAACUUCUACAUGAGCACAAUAAACAGAAAAGAAAGAGAAAAGGAAAAUAAAUAUAUAUGGCACCAAAAGCUAUUACCAUGUUAUAAUAUAAAUUUAAUGACCGAAAUUAUAAACAUUUUUACAAUCUUAGCAAACCUCUCAACGUGUAGUCUGAAUCGACAGAACAUCAGUAGAGUAAUUUUUGUUACAUUUAUAGUCCCCAAUGUCGUUUCAAGGCAAAGUUUGUUUGGUUUCUCUGUUUUCCUAAACACUGGCUUCUCAAUUGCAUUCUCAAUGUGCAUCUGUACUAGUUUGACAUCUGUGGCUAUUGUGAUUCUUCCUGGAAUAUCAUCUGUCCAUCACCUUUAAAGCAUAACAUUACCCUGAUGGCCAUGUGAUCUGUAGGUCCCUAGAAAGGAAAAUCGUGAUUUGGAAAGGAAAUUCAUCAACAAACCUGAGUCGGAAGGAUGCUUAGGAAGCGGGUACUCCCUAUGUUCCAGAUUAUAGUUCAUUUAGAUUUGAUGAUUCAAUCAAUUAUUUCUGGGGUGGUCUACAGCCAAUGCAUAGUCUCUAUCUGUGUGUGUGUUUUGUGUUUCCCGUGCACUCUAUUCCUUUCGAGAGGCACUCUAUGUCAGGUGCCUGAAAUAUGGUUUAGCUUCAGGCAAUGAAGUGGACGUCGGAUGGAGAUCCGAGUGUCCACGAUGACAGAGACCGGGUUUUGAAUCUCUCGUCUCUCCAUCUCUCAUGCGUUCCCAACUUCCAACUCCAAUGCCGUCUCCGCUGGCUGAUCAGUGAUCACCUCUGACCCUCUCUGGUGAUGUGUACCCAUUGUUAAUCUCUCCAAUGAAGCUACCCUGCCUGACCAGGCCCACAGGCUGUCUCCUGCAUACGGUGGCAACACACCAACACUGCUGGCCUGCCCUAAGACACAUCUUCGCGUUGCGUCCACUGGAUACCUGCUUUCUUAGUCAGCAGCAUGCCGAAACCCUCCAUUUGUGAAACCUCAGCGGUGAUAGGCGGUGGUUGUCGAACGCUGGCAUGAAGGUGUGAGCUCCCAACUGCUGAAUCGUGUUCCUCUUUUACAUGCACGUGUCCAACAAGAACCAAGGUGGAACUGUAAAGCCUUGUGUCUUUGAACUUUGCAGCCACGUAUUCAGAUUUUUUUUUGAGUUAUUGUAAUUUAUUUACAUUCCCUCUAGAACCGAGAUUAGCGCUACCUCAGUACACUGCCGGUGCAAGAUAAACGAAGGAAGCUGGGAUUGCAUGGCACUGCGGUCUGUUAUGUAGCCGUGGAACAGCAAGACAAAAAGACAUGGAUAUUCCUUGUUUGGAUUGGGGUGUUUGAUCCAGAAACAGUCUCAUUGCUAAUUGUUUCAUUAUUACUACAAAUCUUGGUCGAGGCGUGAAUAUCCUUGCUCUUGAUAUAAUUAUAGUAUUUUGAAUCCCUAUUGUGUUUUUUACUUAAGUGAUAAAUGUUGCAAAGAAACCAUUAGAUAAUUGUUGAAUGAUUAGUUAUUGAUUACAUUGAUUGAUUUUGAUUUAAUGAAUCUUAAAUAAACCAGAA